rnacentral:rRNA from 1 species
UACCUUGUCGACUUCACCCCAAUCGCCAACCACACCGUGGACGGCUGCCUCCCUUGCGGGUUGGCCCACCGGCUUCGGGUACAGCUGACUUUCGUGAUGUGACGGGCGGUGUGUACAAGGGCCGGGAACGUAUUUACCGCGUCGUUCUGAUACGCGAUUACUGGGGAUUUCACCUUUAUGCAGUCGAGUUGCAGACUGGAAUCCGAACUGAGGCCGGCUUUUUGGGAUUGGGUGCCCCUCGCGGGUUUGCAGCCCUUUGUUCCGCCCAUUGUUGGCACGUGUGUCGCCUGCGGCAUAUGGGGCGUGGCGGCUUGGGG